rnacentral:lncRNA from 1 species
AAGCCCAAAGGAGUACUGCACACACUGAAGAGGUCACCAGGAGCGGUUGUGCAGGCUCUGGGUCGUUCCAUCCAGCAUGGACAAAAAGGCUGCACAGCGUUCAGUUUCUGGAAGAUCUCUCUCUGGGAGAAGGAGGGCUGCUGUGAGUCUUAUUUCACUGUGAUCAAGUUAUUCCUCCCGGACAGUGUGAAAGACAAAUCAGGGAGUUUUGGAUACCAUCUCUUGAAGAGAAUGAAUCUGGAUUCAAUGCAUCUGGCUGUAGAAAGAAUUACAGAAGUACUGAUUUAAUUGAUUCCAUGGAUUUGCAACCAGCAGUUCAGCAGCUGCUUCAUGAGCCAUCCUUGCAGGAGGGGAACGUCAGAG